rnacentral:rRNA from 1 species
GACGAACGCUGGCGGCGUGCUUAACACAUGCAAGUCGAACGGAAAGGCCCUGCUUUUGUGGGGUGCUCGAGUGGCGAACGGGUGAGUAACACGUGAGUAACCUGCCCUUGACUUUGGGAUAACUUCAGGAAACUGGGGCUAAUACCGGAUAGGAGCUCCUGCUGCAUGGUGGGGGUUGGAAAGUUUCGGCGGUUGGGGAUGGACUCGCGGCUUAUCAGCUUGUUGGUGGGGUAGUGGCUUACCAAGGCUUUGACGGGUAGCCGGCCUGAGAGGGUGACCGGCCACAAUGGGACUGAGAUACGGCCCAGACUCCUACGGGAGGCAGCAGUGGGGAAUAUUGUACAAUGGGCGGAAGCCUGAUGCAGCAACGCCGCGUGCGGGAUGACGGCCUUCGGGUUGUAAACCGCUUUCGCCUGUGACGAAGCGUGAGUGACGGUAAUGGGUAAAGAAGCACCGGCUAACUACGUG